GUGUUGGGGAAGAUUUUCGGGGUCUUUUGAGCCACACUCGGCGUUUCAGUAGUGAUAAGGCUAAAAGCUAAUUUAUUCAUUAGAUUAAGUGUUUAAGUUCAUAAUCGUUCGACUUACUUUGGUCACCCUAGUCUUUACAAUCCUCCAACAACUUGAUUAUUUCGAUCGAUACGAUGGCGCGUACUACAGGUAAGAUAACCUCAAUCCUGCUGGAAUCCGACGGUUCCCGAGCGAUCCAGCCAACAAUCCGACCUGCAGCCUCAGUGGGCUUUACAAUAAUUUAAGAUUAGUUUAGACUAUAAGUUUCCUUUUUUCUACAUCUUACGCGUUUUGUUUGAGCAAAUUAAAUUCAAAUUCACCAGCAA